rnacentral:lncRNA from 1 species
ACUACAGCCUCAGUGCAUGGCGGUGGGCGCUUCCAGUAACUCAGGGGUGGGACUUUUUUCUUGCUCAGGGGAUGAGGCCGAGCCCACAGGCUUAGAAAGAAGGAACUUGAGUCCGGGCACCUGUCAUCCCAGCGCUUAGGGAGGCCGAGGCGGGUGGAUCACCUGAGGUCAGGAGUUCGAGACCAGCCUGGCCAAUAUGGCGAAACCCCCGUCUCUACUAAAAAUACAAAAAUUAGCCGAGCAUGGUGGCAUGCACUUCCAGCUACUUGGAAGGCUGAGGCGGGAGAAUGGCUUGAACCUGGGAGGCGAGGGUUGCAGUGAGCUGAGAUCGCACCACUGCACUCCAGCCUGGGUGACAGAGCGAGACUUCGUCUCAAAAAAAAAGAAGAAGAAAGAAGGAAGCUGAGGUUCAGACAGGCUAAGUCCCUACUGCAGGCUGCGGAAUCUAAAAAGGUCAUGAACUCUGAGAGUUUGAGAUGAGCCUCUAAAAGCUGUAUCAAUAGCACCUUGCACUGUUGAAGCAGGCCAUGAACUCUGAGAAUUUGGGCUGCAUUUUUAAAGCUGUAUCACUGGCAGUUUGUACUCAAAAAGCAGGUAAAUAUUUCCCUGGUUACUCCUUGAUUUUAGAAGGAAACACAAUACAC